AAACACGAAAAUCUUAUCAUAAAAAUGGUCUUCCUAGGAGUCAUGUACGUGUAAAAAAUUACAAAGAAUAAAUUAAAUAUAUUAACAGGAAUGGAUUAACUAACAUUACAUUACAUUAACUAACGAACUAAUUAACUAGCCUACAGUUAAAACCUUUGUAAUAAAACUUUCUCUAAUUUACAGUACACUAAAAAUAAUCUUCCCCAUUCAGCGAGGUUUUAAACAGUUUUAAACUAGAUAGGUGUCUGACUUCUGAUGAAAUUAUGAUGAUGAUGAUGAUUAUUUAUACAUUGGUCGUUAUCUUGACUAUACCCCAGUGUGGGUAUCUUCGCGCGCAAGUCAUUAUUAUGUGUUGCAUAGAGCAUUGGGUUCGCGUGUAAUCUAUUUUGAAAACAAUCAAAAAGGUGUCUGUGUUCCCAGCGCCUUUAUUCGAACCUAAUGAUCAGUGGUAGGGUUUAUCACCUAUAUCCCUCCAGUUAUUUCUCUCAGUCAAUCCCAGAGUCUUGAGUGUCUUGAGUCUUCGGUUAGUGGUAGGUGUAGUCUCCUUCGCAGCCCUCAUUAGGGUCGUCACGCAACGCUUCUCCCCUUGUUGCGUGACGACCCUAAUAAUGGCUGCGAAGGAGGGUGAGGCCUGGGGUAUGACUAAAGAUUUUGGACACGAAUUUGAACCUUAACUUAAAACCGUCAUUUGAGUAAAGAUUUAUCUUACAACUGCAGUUCAAUUUUUUUCACGACAGUUACUAUCGAGCAGUAACCGGCGAUUGUCAUCCGUGUUCCUGGUGCUGUACCGACAGCAACGACUGGAAGGAAGAUAUAGAGAAACAGUGCAGUGAACAGUCUAAUCUUCCAGCCAAGCAGAUAUGUCGCUACGAUGUUAACACUAUCAAGUGUGCACUUGUGGCAAAGAGCAUAUCUGCGCAUGUUUCAUCGGCAGCUACCACAAAACCUGGGGGUUUGCAAGCCAUACAGAAUACCGUGGGAGCCAAGGCCAACAGUGGAUUGUGGCUGAUUUUAGUUGCUGCUUUUGCUGCUUUUGCUUUGUGUGCCUUUGUCACACUGGUCAUUUGCUAUCAUAAAAAGCAACAAACGUUGUCCCAGUUGCUGUGUGGUAAGCCAGGCUGCGAGACUACACUUCCAAUACAAGCAGUUUGUAAUCCUGAAAAACAUUCACCUUUAGUUGUAAUAGGCGGCAAGCAAACCGGUGGGCAGAUGGUGUAAAAACCGAGCUACUAACUGGAAAGACAAAGAAGGCUCCACGAGUCCAUAGUACCUUUUGUUUGGUUGAUAUUUCGUUACAUCAUGUAAAGUGCUGCAAUACAUAAUACGAACAUAAAACGGACUCUCUGCGAGUUCUGACUCAAAGGAUACUGUUGCGUUGACUGAUAGGACAUGUGAUACGCUGAAUGGACAAAACGUCACCUGCACUGUUUUAAAGUUUCGUUAUAAAAAGGAAUUGACUGUAACGCAGACUAUUUCUGUCCGUCUGUACGAUCCGCACAAAUCGCGCGGAUCGUCAAACCGUUUCACGCACUCACCGAAGUUAGGACGCAAGAAUAUCACUUGCAAUCAAUGAGAUGCACUUUUCGGUCUGUACACUGACCGGAAACAGUUAACCGUCGGUCAAACUGUACGGAUGAUAAAGUUUUUUUUUCUCCAGCUGUAUCAGUUUGCCGACACUGGACAACCCUCAACUAAGGUCUAGUUCACACUAGCGACAUAACGACACAACAUUACAACGUAAGAAAGACGACAUGUCGUUAUGUUUGCAGUGUCAACAUUCUGACAUAAUUAUACAUAACAACAUUACAGCGUGAACAUGGCAACAUCAAGGAAAAAAAAAACCCUGAUAUUUGCCGGCGUUAUGUCUUUAUAUCGAUGUUCACAUUACCGACAUAAGCGAUUAGGUCGUUGUGCCGUUAUGUCACUAGUGUGAACUAGACCGAACGGAAUAGAAAACAAUCAGACAUAGAGUGUAAUAAAUACCUUUUAUUUGUAAGCUUUAUUUUCUGAAAUAUAAUUUUGAUAUUACUGAUCAAUAUGUUCUCAGAAAAGAUAUAUUUUUAAGCUAAUGUUACAAUUGUAUAUUUUUUAGUGAAGUUCCCUUUUAAAACACUGCCUAGAUAGUAUUUUGUAUUUCCCACCCUUUCAAACAGAAGCCUUUAGUUACUCUUUUUGUAAUACUAAAACAAGCACGAAUCAGUCAAGUCAAGUCAAGUCAAGAAUAUCUUUACAUCUUUAAAGAAAUCUAAAAUAACUCCUUACGGAAUAGCUAUAAAGGAAGACAAUAAGGGAUUAUAAAACUAGGAUUUCAUUUAAUGUGAAUUUGCUUUUAACCAUGUGAGGUACAAUCCGAGUUAGGUCGAGUUAGUUCAAGACAGAGUAUAUUAUUUUUCAGAGUAAAUUUAGUAAACAAUAUCUCGUGAACUUUCAUUUCGACGUAUGUGUAAAUUUCCAUACCCUGUUUAAAACACUGGUUAAGGGCAUGACUAUAUAACUUAUAUAUUUCAAAAUUGCUAUUGAAAUUUUCAAAUAAAUAGGUAAGUACGA